GCCUUACGGGUUGUAAACCUCUUUCGGCCGGGACGAAGUGACGGGACGGGAAGAGCAGAACCCGGGUCGCUUCGUUACGGGCCACGCGGCCGAUAUAAUAGCCC
rnacentral:rRNA from 1 species